CCCAGGAUCGAUUGGCUUAGAAGUACAAGCCAUCAUUUAAAAGAAAGCGUAAUAGCUCGACUGGUCGAGUCGCCGCGCGGAAGAUGUAACGGGGCUAAACCAUGCACCGAAGCUGCGGCAGCGACACUAUGUGUUGUUGGGUAGGGGAGCGUUCUGUAAGCCUGCGAAGGUGUACUGUGAGGUAUGCUGGAGGUAUCAGAAGUGCGAAUGCUGACAUAAGUAACGAUAAUGCGGGUGAAAAACCCGCACGCCGGAAGACCAAGGGUUCCUGUCCAACGUUAAUCGGGGCAGGGUGAGUCGACCCCUAAGGCGAGGCUGAAA
rnacentral:rRNA from 1 species